rnacentral:lncRNA from 1 species
GUCCCUCUUUAUCCACCCGUCCAUCACACUUCAGUUUCAGUUUAGAAAUGCUUUGACCAAAUGAUUCUAUUAUUGGUUUGUUAAUAUUAUGUUACGGGUCAAUUUUGUGAUUCAUGCUGGUGGAAUAACAUCUCAGACGGAUGUGUGCCAUAAGAAAUUAAGAAUUUUCUUACGUUUGUUAGGGCCAUAUAUAUCUUGCCUUUCCAUAAGCCAGGUUGGCCCGGCUUUUGCAAUCCCAUGAAGUUCAUCACCUGUCAACCUUAAACCAGAUGCUCCACAGAGCACAGCUUUAUACGACCGCAGAGUUCGAAUCCUGAACAGUAUGGACACAACAUUAAAGCUUGAUACAACUCUGAAUUUGAAUUGCG